UAAAUAGCAAGAUGGCAGAUCCACAUCAGGAAGGAACAUCAGGAACAUCCAUAGUGUUCCAUCCAUGGAACCUCACCAUGGAUAUGCUUGUGUUCAUGGGCCUGGUCUUCUCUCAAGAUACGGUCAGUUGGUCAGUUGUCAGGGAUCAGAGGCCACACUCAUCAUAGCAGAGAGGCAGGAUCAGCUGGGUCAGGGUCCUUCUGUGACACCUACUGCAUCACCAGGCCGUGCAAAGUGACUCAGCUGCCAGAACUCACAGAAUAUCAUUCUGCACCAAAACUUCCCAGGAAAAAUGUUCCAGGUCUGACCCCAGCCCUGGCUCCAGCAUUUGACCUCUGGGAGUCUCUUUCUUUGUGGCCAGUGAUGUCCAAAGUUCCUGCAGGGGCCUAGAGCCUGUGGUCCCUGAGUCCAUCAGAAAUGCAGCCUGUGCCAGGUGGGGAGCAUCAAGCCUGCCACCCAACACCACGGGCUGCAAGGGUGAACAUCUGUGCAGAGUCUGCUGGUUGGCGGUCAAGCCUCUGCGUGACCUCAGCUUCCUGGGGACCAUCUCCGGUCAGUGGCAGACAUGGAGAUGUGCUGCACCGAUCCCCUUUUAAGGAAGGAUUUGCUGCCCUGCAUGGGAAGUGUGCUCAGCAGAGAGGCUCCCACUUCUUUCAGGCUACUCCAAAGCUCACAGAAGAGCAGGUAGGUGCACUGCAUACUCAUUCCUACCCUAAAACAUUGACCUUAAGUGUUGAAAGAAAUGCAAUGGGCUAAA
rnacentral:lncRNA from 1 species